UUGACUUAUUUUUUUUAACGAGCUCAGAACGACAGGUAUAGUAUGGAGUAGUAAUCCUCCGGCAGGCGCCUGAGAUAGGCAAUGGUCCCGCCCUGGGACCGCCUGCCGAAGCAACCGGUAGGUAUGUUCACAGUGGGUUUUGGAGUUUUGCAACUCUGUAAUGAUCCCUCCGCUGGUUCACCAACGGAGA
rnacentral:misc_RNA from 1 species